rnacentral:rRNA from 1 species
UACGUAGGGUGCAAGCGUUGUCCGGAAUUAUUGGGCGUAAAGCGCGCGCAGGCGGUCUUUUAAGUCUGAUGUGAAAGCCCACGGCUCAACCGUGGAGGGUCAUUGGAAACUGGGAGACUUGAGUGCAGAAGAGAAGAGUGGAAUUCCACGUGUAGCGGUGAAAUGCGUAGAGAUGUGGAGGAACACCAGUGGCGAAGGCGACUCUUUGGUCUGUAACUGACGCUGAGGCGCGAAAGCGUGGGGAGCAAACAGG